CUUUGGUGCCUUCGGGAACUCUGAGACAGGUGCUGCAUGGCUGUCGUCAGCUCGUGUUGUGAAAUGUUGGGUUAAGUCCCGCAACGAGCGCAACCCUUAUCCUUUGUUGCCAGCGGUCCGGCCGGGAACUCAAAGGAGACUGCCAGUGAUAAACUGGAGGAAGGUGGGGAUGACGUCAAGUCAUCAUGGCCCUUACGAGUAGGGCUACACACGUGCUACAAUGGCGCAUACAAAGAGAAGCGAACUCGCGAGAGCAAGCGGACCUCAUAAAGUGCGUCGUAGUCCGGAUUGGAGUCUGCAACUCGACUCCAUGAAGUCGGAAUCGCUAGUAAUCGUAGAUCAGAAUGCUACGGUG
rnacentral:rRNA from 1 species